rnacentral:lncRNA from 1 species
UACCACAAUAAUGUAUGUCUAAUGUAGAAAUACAUUUCUGUCCGGUUGUUGUUCUGUCCUUGUAGUCCCACCGUGCCGACAGUGAAGAGACCUGUAACCAUUCCUCCUGAGCUGCAGGUUCUGGUGACAGAGGUUGCUCAUCCCAACAAACUGAGUUCUUUCAGCGUGAACUUCAGCUAACCGAGCGCAGAGUGGAAGACAGAGCGGAAAAGAAGAGGAAACUGCCGGACCCUCAGCCUCGAGGAACAAUGUGUCGUUUCUGUCACACAGAGCUGAAGCAGGGUCCAACCAGCAGACACACACACACACACACACACACACACACACAGACACACAGACACACACACAGACACACAGACACACACACACACACAGACACACACUCAGGAUUCCCGGGGGGGAAACACAUUCACUGUCCAGCUAAGGUCCUUGUGUCAUAAAGACAUGACAAAGGAAAUGACGUGGAAAGAAUUUGAGGCCUCACCGUUCAAUGUGAUGGAGAAAGAGAGGGUGGACGGCAGAAAGAAAAAGAUAGCUGAGAAUGAGACGUGUUUAUCUACAGAGAGAGAGCGGGUCAGCUUCCAUGGAGUUCGCCAUGUUCAACCACCGUGUUUCUACAGUAGCCCCAAAGGGACAAACAGAACACUGGCUCUAGAUAGAGCCUUUCACAUUUCACAUGUUUCUGUGACACCAUAGUUUCUGGGGAGGGGGAGGGAGGAGCCAGUGAGUUGCAACUACACCACUAGAUGCCAAUAAAGGCUUCACAAUGUCCUUUAACAUAAACGCCGUUCGACCACGAAGCAUUGCAUUCUGUGAAAUUACAACUGAUUAAUCUGAUUGAUUUAGUUGUUUCCUUGUAUAUAUUUAUAAUUGAUUAUUGGAUAUAAAACUGAUUGAAAGAUUGAUUAUACUUGUUUUAGCACUCUUUAAAUUGCACUGAAGACAGAGGACAGUGUGGACAGAUUUAAUAAAACAAUGACUUUUAGCACAGAACUUGUUUCACUUGAUUUCAUCUAUAAAGCUCUGGUCAGCUCAUUUCCAUUAUGAAUAAUAGUAUUUAAUUCACCUUUGAAUGCUAAAGAAAAUCAGUCUUUAUUACAAGUAUAAUUGAGUAUAAUGUUACGUAUUAUAUUGAUACUGUAAUUGGGGUGUUCCUCCAUAAAAUUCUCAAUACAUGAAUACAAACAAUUAUUACAUACUUUAGACUGAAAUCAUGUAGAUUUUAAUGUCAAAUUUAGAAUAAAUAAGUUAGAAGUUAGAAAGACUCAUGAAGCACAGAAAGUCACACAAGCAGCCACCUCACUGUUGGCGGAUGAGUCAGUGAGCGUGAUGGAUCAAACUCCGUCUCUGACACCAAUACCGAGACCGGCAGAGCCAAGCCAAGAGUCCUCAUGUGUCCGGAGUGUCGCGGCUCAACUGCACACUUCCCACCAACAGGAGGAACAAGCUAGCUUUGACCAAGACAAAACUUCUACACCGAAAACACGGUACUCUGGAGUCACAAGACGCAUAAGCCCGGACUGCAAAGUGAAAAACUAUAGAACCCUUAGGGUUAGAAUAAAAAAUAUAUAAGUAAUUAUUUAAAUUCAAUAUUUACCAGUGUGUUUGAAAUUCAACCGGGCUUCAGCCACACAUUUUUAUGUCAUUCAUUAUUCAAAAUGUAUGAUACAAUAUGUCGAAGAUACAAAGAAUACAAUUCGAACAAGAAUUUGGCAACAUAAGUUUAAUACUCUGAACAAAAAAGGAAAUUGAGACCACUGGUAGAUUACUUCCUGGUAUAUGGCUGGCCAGCCGAACGCGUGUCAGGACUCCAACACAAUUCCUCUUGGACAGACGCAGGAAGGAAAAAAGCAGAGAAGAAAAGGAAUUGAGUCCUUAAAAACUAUGGAACCAGUAGGACUUAACCCUCCCGCUGAGGCUCUGACGGCUAGGCGCAUAGGAAUGGGAGG